UAGGUGGCAAGCGUUGUCCGGAAUGACUGGGCGUAAAGGGAGCGUAGGCGGCGCAACAAGUUAGGAGUGAAAUCCCGGGGCUUAACCCCGGAACUGCUUUUAAAACUGUUGUGCUUGAGUGAUGGAGAGGAAAGCGGAAUUCCUAGUGUAGCGGUGGAAUGCGUAGAUAUUAGGAGGAACACCAGAGGCGAAGGCGGCUUUCUGGACAUUAACUGACGCUGAGGCUCGAAAGCGUGGGGAGCAAA
rnacentral:rRNA from 1 species